rnacentral:tRNA from 1 species
GGGGUUGUGGCGGAAUCGGUAGACGCAUCGGACUUAAAAUCCGGUGAGGGCAACCUCGUAUGGGUUCAAGUCCCAUCAGCCCCACCA